GAUGAACGCUGGCGGCGUGCCUAACACAUGCAAGUCGAGCGAUCUUCUUCGGAAGAGAGCGGCGGACGGGUGAGUAACGCGUGGGUAACCUGCCUCAUACACAUGGAUAACAUACCGAAAGGUAUGCUAAUACAAGAUGAUAUAAGAGAUUCGCAUGGAUUUCUUAUCAAAGCUCCGGCGGUAUGAGAUGGACCCGCGUCUGAUUAGCUAGUUGGUAAGGUAACGGCUUACCAAGGCGACGAUCAGUAGCCGACCUGAGAGGGUGAUCGGCCACAUUGGAACUGAGACACGGUCCAAACUCCUACGGGAGGCAGCAGUGGGGAAUAUUGCACAAUGGGCGAAAGCCUGAUGCAGCAACGCCGCGUGAGCGAUGAAGGCCUUUGGGUCGUAAAGCUCUGUCCUCAAGGAAGAUAAUGACGGUACUUGAGGAGGAAGCCCCGGCUAACUACGUGCCAGCCGCCGCCGUAAUAC
rnacentral:rRNA from 1 species